GACGAACGCUGGCGGCGUGCUUAACACAUGCAAGUCGAACGGAAAGGCCCCUUUGGGGGUACUCGAGUGGCGAACGGGUGCGUAACACGUGAGUAACCUGCCCUUGACUUCGGGAUAACUUCAGGAAACUGGGGCUAAUACCGGAUAGGAAUCCUUGCUGCAUGGUGGGGGUUGGAAAGCUUCGGCGGUUUUGGAUGGACUCGCGGCUUAUCAGCUUGUUGGUGGGGUAGUGGCUUACCAAGGCUUUGACGGGUAGCCGGCCUGAGAGGGCGACCGGCCACAGUGGGACUGAGAUACGGCCCAGACUCCUACGGGAGGCAGCAGGGGGGAAUAUUGCACAAUGGGCGGAAGCCUGAUGCAGCAACGCCGCGUGCGGGAUGACGGCCUUCGGGUUGUAAACCGCUUUCAGCAGGGGCGAAGCUUGUGGUGACGGUACCUGCAGAAGAAGCACCGGCUAACUACGUG
rnacentral:rRNA from 1 species